GUGAAUCAUCAAAUCUUUGAACGCAAAUUGCACUCUCUGGUAUUCCGGAGAGUAUGCCUGUUUGAGGGUCAGUUUAAAUAAAAAUCGGUGUGGUUGCUGCCUUUCGUGGUGACGCACCGGAGAUUGGGCUACCUUUAACUUUCGGGUUUAAGAUGCUUAAAAUUGAACUUUUUUUCGCACUUUUAGACGUCCAUAAAUUUAUUUUAUCGUUUAUUCUGGUUCCAAUUAUCUAUUAGUUGCGAUCAUGUUAUAUGAUCUCCUUCCUAUAAUUUCUCAUCUUUUGACCUCAAAUCAGUUAAGG
rnacentral:misc_RNA from 1 species